ensembl:rRNA 5S_rRNA 5S ribosomal RNA
GCCAGCAGCCAUGUCACCCUGCAACUUACAAUUGGCAACCCACUGAAGCUCAGCAGGUGUGAGCCUGGUCAGUACCUGGAUGGGAGACCUCCUGGGAAAAACUAAGGUUGCUGCUGGAA